GGAGAAGUACUCAAGCGGCUCAAGAGGACGGUUUGCUAAACCGUUAGGUCGUGUAUGCGGCGCGCGGGUUCGAAUCCCGCCUUCUCCG
rnacentral:tRNA from 1 species